rnacentral:lncRNA from 1 species
AACAACAACAACAACAACAAACCCAGUGUAUUCCCACCUAGUGGGGUCUGGGGGGGGUAAGAUGUACGCAGUCCAUACCUCUACCUCUGAUGAAGUAGAAAGGCUGUUUCCGAUAGACCCCCGGCUCAAGGCACGAGAUACCACACAAACACAUAGUAAAGCACAGAAGCAGAUUACAUAACAUAAAUAUGGCACCCAUAAGUAAUAUAAAACAGAGGAAAGCGGAGGAAAGCACACAUAUUCGUAAUAAAACAUGGAACACGGAACACGAAAUCAUAACAAGAAUAAAACCCUCACCAAGUAAUUCCCAACACUAGCGACCCAAACGGGCCCUAAUCCUCUGCCG